rnacentral:rRNA from 3 species
GGGCGUUAAGUUGCAGGGUAUAGACCCGAAACCCGGUGAUCUAGCCAUGGGCAGGUUGAAGGUUGGGUAACACUAACUGGAGGACCGAACCGACUAAUGUUGAAAAAUUAGCGGAUGACUUGUGGCUGGGGGUGAAAGGCCAAUCAAACCGGGAGAUAGCUGGUUCUCCCCGAAAGCUAUUUAGGUAGCGCCUCGUGAAUUCAUCUCCGGGGGUAGAGCACUGUUUCGGCAAGGGGGUCAUCCCGACUUACCAACCCGAUGCAAACUGCGAAUACCGGAGAAUGUUAUCACGGGAGACACACGGCGGGUGCUAACGUCCGUCGUGAAGAGGGAAACAACCCAGACCGCCAGCUAAGGUCCCAAAGUCAUGGUUAAGUGGGAAACGAUGUGGGAAGGCCCAGACAGCCAGGAUGUUGGCUUAGAAGCAGCCAUCAUUUAAAGAAAGCGUAAUAGCUCACUGGUCGAGUCGGCCUGCGCGGAAGAUGUAACGGGGCUAAACCAUGCACCGAAGCUGCGGCAGCGACGCUUAUGCGUUGUUGGGUA